UACGUAGGGUGCAAGCGUUAAUCGGAAUUACUGGGCGUAAAGCGUGCGCAGGCGGUUGUGUAAGACAGAUGUGAAAUCCCCGGGCUCAACCUGGGAACUGCAUUUGUGACUGCACAGCUGGAGUGCGGCAGAGGGGGAUGGAAUUCCGGGUGUAGUGGUGAAAUGCGUAGAGAUCCGGAGGAACCCCAGAGGCGAAGGCGGCGCCCUGGCUCGCAACUGACGCUCAGACACGACAGCAUGGGGAGCGAACGGG
rnacentral:rRNA from 1 species